rnacentral:ncRNA from 24 species
AGCUCAUCCAGAGGGGCAGAGGGACACGGCCCGAUGAAGCCCCGGCAACCCUCCAGCCGGUUCUCGUGUCGAUCGUUGUGCGCGCACAGCCGAUCGCACCCGCGAGGCUCCCGGCUAGGGAAGGUGCCAAAUCCGUCUCACGGCGAGAUGCGUC